GAUGAACGCUAGCUACAGGCUUAACACAUGCAAGUCGAACGAGCGAGAGAGAGCUUGCUUUCUCGAGCGAGUGGCGAACGGGUGAGUAACGCGUGAGGAACCUGCCUCAAAGAGGGGGACAACAGUUGGAAACGACUGCUAAUACCGCAUAAGCCCACGACCCGGCAUCGGGUUGAGGGAAAAGGAGCAAUCCGCUUUGAGAUGGCCUCGCGUCCGAUUAGCUAGUUGGUGAGGUAACGGCCCACCAAGGCAACGAUCGGUAGCCGGACUGAGAGGUUGAACGGCCACAUUGGGACUGAGACACGGCCCAG
rnacentral:rRNA from 1 species